GACGAACGCUGGCGGCGUGCUUAACACAUGCAAGUCGAACGGAAAGGCCCUGCUUUUGUGGGGUGCUCGAGUGGCGAACGUGUGAGUAACACGUGAGUAACCUGCCCUUUACUUUGUGAUAACUUCAGGAAACUGGGGCUAAUACCGGAUAGGAUCUCCUGCUGCAUGGUGGGGGUUGGAAAGUUUCGGCGGUUGGGGAUGGACUCGCGGCUUAUCAGCUUGUUGGUGGGGUAGUGGCUUACCAAGGCUUUGACGGGUAGCCGGCCUGAGAGGGUGACCGGCGAAAUUGGGAAUGAGAUACGGCACAGACUACUACGGGAGGCAGCAGUGGGGAAUAUUGCAAAAUGGGCGGAAGCAUGAUGCAGAAAAGCAGCGUGCGGGAUGAAGGCCGACGGGUUGUAAAACGAUUUAGAAUGUGAAGAAGAGUGAGUGACGGUAAUGGGUAAAGAAGCACCGGCUAACUACGUG
rnacentral:rRNA from 1 species